rnacentral:rRNA from 1 species
AGUGAACGCUGGCGGUAGGCCUAACACAUGCAAGUCGAACGGCAGCACAGUAAGAGCUUGCUCUUACGGGUGGCGAGUGGCGGACGGGUGAGGAAUACAUCGGAAUCUACUUUUUCGUGGGGGAUAACGUAGGGAAACUUACGCCAAUACCGCAUACGACCUAAGGGUGAAAGCAGGGGAUCUUCGGCCCUUGCGCGAUUGAAUGAGCCGAUGUCGGAUUAGCUAGUUGGCGGGGUAAAGGCCCACCAAGGCGACGAUCCGUAGCUGGUCUGAGAGGAUGAUCAGCCACACUGGAACUGAGACACGGUCCAGACUCCUACGGGAGGCAGCAGUGGGGAAUAUUGGACAAAGGGCGCAAGCCUGAUCCAGCCAUACCGCGUGUGUGAAGAAGGCCUUCGGGUUGUAAAGCCCUUUUGGUGGGAAAGAAAAGCAGCAGGUUAAUACCCCGCUGUUCUGACGGUACCCAAAGAAUAAGCACCGGCUAACUUCGUG